AUCAAGGGCACCAAGAAGAGCCGGACUGUUGUGCUGAAGAACAACGGCACGCUCAGCUUCAAAUUCCACAUCCGCCGAGAACCCAAGCUUGCAUCUGCAUUGGAAAGCAAAAGUUCAAAGCAAGGGGAAUCUGCUCCAUCAGCUAAAAAGCGCUCAAAAGGAAGGAAAUCAGGCUCCUCGACACAGGGUCACCUCAGGCUUGGCAUGUUCACAGUGUCCCCCUGCUCCGGCUCCGUCCAUCCGUCGCGCAUGCAGUUGAUCAAAGUGGAGUGCCUCGCAGAGCAGGAGGGGACAUGGGAGGAGCAGAUCUACAUUGACAUCAUGGACAGAGACCCCACAGACAAUCCCCUCGGCAUUCCCUUCACCCUGAUUGUCGAGACCUGCGUCCCAGGUACAUACUGCCCACAGUGCCCUUGGUC